UACGAAGGGGGCUAGCGUUGCUCGGAUUGACUGGGCGUAAAGGGCGCGUAGGCGGUUCGUACAGUCAGACGUGAAAUUCCUGGGCUCAACCUGGGGGCUGCGUUUGAUACGUGCGGACUUGAGUGCGGAAGAGGGUCGUGGAAUUCCCAGUGUAGAGGUGAAAUUCGUAGAUAUUGGGAAGAACACCGGUGGCGAAGGCGGCGACCUGGUCCGUUUCUGACGCUCAGGCGCGACAGCGUGGGGAUCAAACAGG
rnacentral:rRNA from 1 species